rnacentral:rRNA from 1 species
AUACGUAGGUCCCGAACGUUGCGGGAAAUUACUGGGCGUAAAGGGUCCGUAGGCGGUCUGGUAAGUGGAAGGUGAAAGCCUGGGGCUCAACUCCAGAAUUGCCUUCCAAACUGCCGGACUUGAGGCAGGGAGAGGUCGGCGGAAUUCCCGGUGUAGUGGUGAAAUGCGUAGAUAUCGGGAGGAACACCAGUGGCGAAGGCGGCCGACUGGAACUGUCCUGACGCUGAGGGACGAAAGCCAGGGGAGCGAACCGGAUUAGAAACCCUAGUAGUCC